GUCUUAUUGAUUAUAAUUUUAAGUCUAAUCUGCCCAAUGAGUAAUUAAAUGGCUGCAGUAUUUUAACUGUACAAAGGUAGCAUAAUAAUUAGUUUCUUAAUUAGGAACUGGAAUGAAUGAUUGGACGAGAUGAUGACUGUCUUGGUUUAAAUUUUAGAAUUUUAUUUUUAAGUUAAAAAGCUUAAAUUUUUUUAAAAGACGAGAAGACCCUAUAGAAUUUUAUAUUAUUUAAAUAUUUUAUUAUUUGGAUUUUAAUAUAGAAUUUUUUAAUGAGUAUUUAAUUGGGGUGAUUGAAAAAUUUAAUUAACUUUUUUUUACUAUAAACAUUGAUUUAUGAUUAUUUGAUCCAAUAUUUUUGAUUAUAAGAUUAAAUUACCUUAGGGAUAACAGCGUAAUUUUUUUAGAGAGUUCUAAUCGAUAAAAGAGAUUGCGACCUCGAUGUUGGAUUAAAGUUAAUUUUUAAUGUAGGAGUUAAAAUAUUAGGUCUGUUCGACCUUUGAAACUUUACAUGAUCUGAGUUUAAACCGGUGUGAGCCAGGUUGGAUUCUAUCUUUAAUUAGAUUAAAUAUUUUAGUACGAAAGGACCAAGUAUUUGUUAUAAUAGUUUAUUUAGAAUAUUAAUAUUAUUUUGGCAGAUUAGUGCUUUAAAUUUAGAAUUUAAUUAUGUGGAUGUAUUCACAGAUAAUAC
rnacentral:misc_RNA from 1 species